rnacentral:tRNA from 1 species
CGGAUAUUAGCGCAGAUGGUAGCGCACCCGCUUUGGGAGCGGGGAGCCGCCGGUUCGAAUCCGGCAUAUCCGA